rnacentral:lncRNA from 1 species
CCCGGUACACAUACGAACAUUGUCAUGAAUGAAAGCAAAGUGAUAUACCUCCAACCCUUUUUUAGUGAACUGAAAAUUGGUGCCAAGUGUUCAUAAUAUUAAAGUAGAAAGCUAUAAGGCUAAAUUGGCGUCGAAGUAAAAUGUUAUGGCCAAAAAGGCAAAGCAACAACAUAAAUCAAAAUGCGAUCCUAUCUUUCUCUUGAAUUUGAUCUUCAACACUUUCCAAUUUGAUUUGAUCAUCAGAGAGGCGAUGGAAAAUUGAUUUAACUUCUUUGUUCAAAGAUGCGAUCCUAUCUUUCUCUUGAUCUUGAAUCUUAACGAUGAUUGUCACCUUGUAGUUUUUCAAGCUUGGCAUUAAGAUCAGCAAUCU